UAUCCAGUGGCUUAGUGGUUAGCAUGUUCGCCUCACACCUCCAGGGUCCGGGGUUCGAUUCCCAUCGGGGAAU